rnacentral:rRNA from 1 species
CCUACGGGAGGCAGCAGUGAGGAAUAUUGGUCAAUGGACGGAAGUCUGAACCAGCCAUGCCGCGUGCAGGAAGAUGGCUUUAUGAGUUUUAAAUUGUUUUUUUACAAGGCUAAACCUGUAUACUUGUAUUCAACGGAAAUUACGUUACGAUUAAGGACCGGUAAAUUCCGUGCCACCAGCCGCGGUAAUACGGAGGAUCCAAGCGUUAUCCGGCUUUUUUGGGUUUAAGGGGUGCGUAGGCGGAUGGAUAAGUUGGAGUUGAAAGGUCCGGGCUUACGUCGGGAACUGCCUUUAAUACUGUUGAUCUAGAAUGUAGAUGCGGUAGGCGGAAUGUAUGGUGUAGCGGUGAAAUGCUUAGAGAUCAUACAGAACACCGAUUGCGAAGGCAGCUUACGAAUCUAUAUCUGACGUUGAGGCACGAAAGCGUGGGGAGCAAACAGGAUUAGAUACCCCAGUAGUC